UAACAUCACAGCCCUGCUCUGAAGACUUCAAGAUGCUGAUUACUUGACAACUUCACAGCACCCCCCCACCAGACUGAAACUGUUGACUUAAGACACAAAAGAAAGAGCAAGGAUGAAACUCUUGACCAGACUAACCACAAAUUCUUGGCUUCAUGCAUAAGAGUUUACCUGUGAAAGAGCAGGGAAUUUUCUACCCAUGUAUACCACCAUCACAGUAUCUGAGCAUCCGUACCAUUGUAACCCCAGAAGUUUUAGAGAGGGACCUGGGACACAGGCUAAGUGGUGUGCCCGAGCACCACAGGGAGCUUGUGAUAAAGCAGGGACUGCUUUUCCACCUCUGGAAGCACCACCCCCACUGACAGCUGAGGCCUUUCGUUUGAUUCGGUUCUUUUAUAUGCUUC